rnacentral:lncRNA from 1 species
ACUUUUUUACCUCAACAUUCUCUUUAUAAACUCCAGCUUUUAUGUAAAUAACAAACCUACGAUUGCCCCUUCUCUCGACUGUUUGGUUCCGGUACGUUGACGGCGAGGGAGUUGCUGAGCAAGUCGGUUAUAUUACUAGACAACAGAUUGGCCAUCGAAGGUGGUGGGAUGAGACCAAGAUCAAAGAACCCAUCAGCACACGUCUGCUGAUUCGCAGCGGCGGCGCUCAACCACGUCUGGGUCUCUUCACUCGACGGAUUCUCCACGGAGUUUCGAAGGUGUUCGAUAGUCUCUUCACCAAGUGCAACGCAGUCAUCCCAAGCACCUCUCGUGCGCGAGUCAAAUUUCGCAACAUCAACAGCUGAUACCUCGACAUGCACUCGUCGGAAGCCAGACAUAGCUCCCUGAAUGUUGAAAUCCCUGAAGUCCGACUUAACUUUACCUCCGGCAUAGAAUGGGUCGGCGUUUUGGGUAAGAGAGUAGCAUGCCUUAGGGUGAGGAAGCUGGCUGCAUGACGUGAACUUAGUAAACGUACCUAUACUACCGCCGCCAUACACAUGCAACGUAAGAAAGAGGAGGAAGAGAGUAGCAAAUGUUAUGAAAUUCUUCGCCAUGGGUUUUGGUUUGGGGAAGAGUAUUGGGUUCCGAUGCUUCUUGUAGACUCGGCCGGCGGCCAUGGAUGUAAAGAAAUGGAUUUAAGAGUACUAAAGACUGGUAGGAUUAUCUAGGUAUUGAUAUUAAAGAAUUGACAAUAGCUGAAUUGAAAUUAAUACCAAAUGAAUAGAGAUAGGAACAAAUAGAUUUUAUUGUAAUUGAAUGAAUUGAAGAUUGAAUUAAACUAUCUAACAACAGUAUUGACUUGAAAUGAAAUAUCGGAAUUGAAAUGAAAUUGAAAGUUGAAAUGAAUUAAUGAAUUAAAAACUGGAAUUGAAAUGAAAUGAACAAUAGAACUGAAUUAAAAACAGAAUUGAAUUGAAUUGAUGGUAACUUCUAGCUAUUUUACAGAACUUGAAAGUAAAUGAAUGAUUAGUCUUGAAUUUUAGUUAUGAAAUGGAAUUAAAGGAACUGAAUUAUACAGGAAAAUAUUCACUGAAUGAAAUUGAAUUAAAAAAAAAUGAUUCAAACUAACAUGUAUUAAAUUGUUUGGAAUGAAAUACACAUUAAGAUGAUCGAAGGUGAUGUCAAUAGCAAGAACAGAAACUAAAUCAAAAGAACUGAAAUUCUGGAAUGUAUACUAGAGAUAUACCUAUAAUAUGAGAAAAGAAACAGGAAAUGAAUAUCUUGGACAAACACAAACCUAAGGAAUCGCAAGCACGGAAAACGAUCAAAAAAGACGGAAGAAAAAGAAAUUUACAAAUGUAAAAUCUCUCGGUAGUACUCCAACUUCAUUAUCCCUUACUUUUAUAGUUUUCAGAUAUAAAAUAUCUUUCUGUUUUGACAGUUAGGAGUUUAUUGAAUUUAAUUGCAGUUAUUUAAAUAUUUGAUAUUUAUUUCAGGUGUGAUUGCCGUUAUUCUUCACAUCCUCCCGCAAAUCUUGAAGGGAAUAACCUUGAAGAUUUGAAGUGUCAGACAUUGUACAAUAGCUUGCUGGAACCAGCUUGUGGCGAUGAAUCGUCUGUACCCAAUAUUUUAGAGAAACCAUCUGCAUACUGCAUGGAAGUUGGUACAUAUUCUACUCUUAGAACUCCCCUACCUAUUUAUUAGUUCUCUUACAAAAUAAUAUGAAAUUUCUAUGUGUCUAGAUCUUGAUGUAAUUGUAGGAUUCUUAGCUAUGAAGAUGGCUGACUUAUUAUCGCAUAGGAGAAUUGGGGUGAUUUUAACUUUAUUUUCAAUUCUCUAAACAAAUAGCAAUACCAUAUGAUCUCUGAAGUAACAUGAGCCAUAACUUUGAAUUCUGCUUUUGAGUUUGAAUUUGAGACUGCUGGUUGCUUUUUAACAGACCAAGAUAAUAAAUUGUUGCCAUACCAGACACUUGAGCCAGUUAUUGAUCUUCUAUCUAGUGAUCCUCCCCAAUCAGAAUCUGUGUAGGCAGUUAAAUUUAAUGUUGUUUCUGACCCUUUUGUGAUCCUCAAUCCCAAACUAUAUAUAAGUGCUUUGUAGGUAUCUAAACAUCCUUCUUACAGCUAGCAAAUGUCCUUCCUUUGGAUUCUGAAGAAAUUGACAUACCUGAUUUUAUUGCAAAUGAUAAGUCAGGUCUGGUAAGAGCUAAAUAUUGUAAGCUCUCUACCAUGCUCCUAUAUUCUGUUAUAUCCUCUAGUUCUUGCCCAUGUCUUGAUGUAACUUCUGUGACAGAGUCAUUGGUGUCCUUAAUUACAGUGUUUGAAUACCUAGGAAGAAUCUUAGCCUGCCCAUAUCUCUGCAUUUGAAGGUUUCACACAACCUCUUUAUAAACUCUUUUAUCUCUUCUUCAUCUGAUCCUGUCACAACAAUAUCAUCUACAUAAACUAAGAUUAAUAGCUUAAACUCACCAUUAACCUUAUAGAAGAGUGAAGCAUCGGCAUUUGAGUUUUUGAAAUUCUCAGAAAUUAGAUAUUAAUGUAAUAUGAGGUACCAAGCUCUCGGGGCAUGUUUGAGGUCAUAUAAUGCUUUCUGCAGUAGGCAUACAUCUCCCAAUCCGUUUUUAUCUUCAUAUCCUUUGGGUUGUUUCAUGUAUACAGUCUCAUAUAGUGUGCCAUUUAAGAAGGCAUUUCUGACAUCCAAUUGCUAUAAGGGCCAUCCAUGAGUCACUACCACUAAUAGAACAUUCCUAACUGUUGAGAUUUUUACUACUAGAUUGUAUGUGUACUGAAAGUCCACCCCUUCAUCCUGAUUAUACUUUUGUGCCACCAACCUGGCUUUACACCUUUCUAUGCUCUCCCAUCAGACCUUCUUUUUACCUUAUAUACCCACUUAGAGCCAAUCACAUUCAUAUAUUCCUCUUUUGGUACCAUUAUCCAAGUAUUAUUUUUUCUGAUAGCUGUCAUUUCUUCUUCCAUUGCCUCCUUCCAACAUCUGUGUUUAUUGGCCUGUGAAAAGCAUGUAGGCUCAACAAUAUCAUUAGAAACAGUUAUACUAUUAAAACUUUUUUCAGAAGUACACAUAUUAUAAUCCUUGUAUAGUACAUUUGGAAAUUUCUCCCUUGCUGAUCUUCUUAGAUAUGAAACAGGAGGAACCUUCUGAACUUGAGUUUCAGAGGUAGAAAGGUUUAUAUUUGGAUUCAAUUCCAAAUUAACUCUGUUUUCAGUGCUAGAGAUAACAGUUAAUGGAGUAGGUUCCAAACUGUCAUUAGACCUAUCUAAGUUAGACUCUGACCUAUGACUUGGGAGACUAACGCCUUGAUUUCUGUUAGAUAGAGCUAGAAUAAUAUUGAUUCCUAUCCAAGCUACUGACUUCAUUUGAUAUAUUUUGAUUGUAUGGAAUUAUAUCUCUGUUAGACAGAGAAUCAGAAUGAUUCCUGCCUAAGCUAGAUAUUCCAUUUGAUAUUUCACUCACAUUUUCAUUAAAAGGUCUAUUUGUACCUAACCCUGUGAUUGGUAUCCUUAUUUGAGAUAUCAAUUCCACUGGCCUUCUGGGUUUGGAUUGAACAUCUACUGAUUUUAAAGAAUCAGUAAAUGGGAAGGAAUUCUUAUUAAACACCACAUUUCUACAGAUUUUAAUUUUUCUGGUUUCUAUGUCUAGACACCUAUAUCCUUUUUGCCUUUUUUAACAAAAAGGAUAUAGGUGUCUAAAAAUGACGAAAUUUUUUGAGUAAAAAUGAAAAAAAACCCUUCAUUUUUAGGUCAAAUGAAGGAAUUUCCUCCAUUUUUGGUUCGUAAAGCCAAAUCCGUCAUUUUGGAAAAAUUGUAUUUUUUUACCAUGAAUAAAAAAAUAUAAGAAAAGGGAAAAUUCCCCAUUUUCCCCCAAAUACGUCAUUUUUGAUAUUAACAGGAAUGGAGGAAUUUCCGUUAUUUUUUUUUAAAAAUCCGUCAUUUCUUUAUUUAUAAAAAUAACGGAAAUUCCCCUAUUUUUUCGAAAAAACUUGAUUUUUUUUGGAUAUACAAUUAAAAUCAUUUCAGAUAUUUUAUAACAAUUAAAACACUUGAAAACAAACUACGCAUUUAAAUAAAAAAAAUAUUUUAAAACAUAAAAUUAAAACAUGCAUUUAAUAAAUAAUUUAAAUUACUCUAAUUACAAUAAUAGUUUAAAAACUAGUUUAAACACUAAUAUGGACGUCAAGUACAAUAUCCAUAGAAACAAGAGUAGAUGCAAUUAAUUUUUAUUGAAAUGUCUAGGUGGCGCUUAUGUUUCCCUAAAAAAAGUUAUCUUCAACCUCAUUUUUAAUAUCUGGGGUUCACUUGCCCCUUCCCCCUUGCCGUUCCCCCUUCCCCCUUGCCAAGCGAUCUUCCUAGCGAUUUUCCCCCUUGCCCCCCCGAUCUUCCCCCUUGCCCCCCCGAAAUCCCUAGCGAAGAGAAGGUCGCUCGUUCGCCCUCCAGCGAACGAGCGAGAGCUAACGCAAUCAGCGAGUGAAUCGCGCGAAGUAGAAGCAUCCGUCUGAUCGCAAGUCGAAGGGAAAGCUGCCUGACCGCGAGCGAAGGCAUGUCAGCAAGCGCGAGCGAGCCCGGUCGGCGAUUCGACCGAAAAGAAGUCCGGUGCCAGCGAGUGAGCGAGCCAUGCCAACGCGCGAGUUGAAGUCCGGCCACUGACCGCGAGCGAGUCCUGGCGGCGAUAGGGCGGCGAUCGACCGAGAAAGAGGGAUUGGAAGAGAGCGAGCAUGCGAGAGCAAGAAAUGGGGAGCGAGCGAGGUCACCUCAGAUCAGCAGCACUCCACGCCUAGCUUCCAGUUCAAAUCUACUCCCUAACCUCUUUUUUAACUUGAUCGAAGGACCUCGAGUGAGACCUCGGCUCCACGCCUCCCAGUGACCGCGAAUGAGAUCAUUUCGCGAGCAACAGUUUUCUACUUCCGACGAGCGACAGAUACAACUACCAGAAGAUAGGAGGAAACCUCGCUAUUGGUUUUUGACCUUCAAGCCGAGGAUUAGCACGCCACAUCUAUUCCAUAUAUCUUAUCUACUUUUAGUUGUUUAGUUAAUUGGCUUGUAAUCUUUUAAUUUUCUGUUUAAUCAAAAUCGCCUUUAAAAAAAAAAAAAAAAUCUGGGGUUCUAUCUGUAAAUACCCCAAAGUAAAUUCUUUAGUCACACAAAAUUACCCAUUAUUUAGUAUAUUAAGGCUUUUAUUGCAAUAUUCCUAUCCAUUAGGAGCUUUUAAUUUAUUCUAGAUUGUAAUUUGUAUUAUAAUUUAAACAAUAGGAUUUGUAAUAAAAUAUUAUUAAAAUACACGUGUAUUAAGUUAUUAUUCAUAACUAAUUUAUUUUAUCUCGUCAUUUAAUCAGUCAUCUUAAAGAUUGGAAGUGAAAGGCACUCGACUGACCGGAAUCCAAGAAUUUCCGACCAAAAAUUUCCCAACUGUGAAUUUCCUUGCCAUGGAAGAGGACAUGACAUGGUAUCCACCCCAUUUGACUCUUCGUUUUGUACUGGAUCCUGCUCCGGUGUUGGAAUACUCUCCAUAAUACAAGGUCUUCAGUGCGAAGUUUCCAUUCCACUUCAACCAACCGGCGGGUGCAAUCAAUCCACCUAAGUUACUCCUCAUGAACACCGUCCGUGAAUAACGUUUCCACGGUCUACCGAGAAACGUCUUUAUUUUCCCCUGCGACGACCGGAAGUCAGAAGCGGCCUUGAUCACCGAGCGGUGUAUGGAUAUUCCAGUGUUCUCGUUGGGAUCUGAUCGACCUUGUGCAGUCACUGUGUUUUUCUGAUUUCGCAUCGGCUUUCUUACAUAGAUUUUGCAGUUCUGCAAUACCACCACUCCGUCGCCGAAGAUGAAGUCGACGGUACCGUAAAUGUCACAUUCGCGGUAAAAUUGACGUUGAGAGUGGACGUAGAGUGUGUCUUGGUAACCCUUGAAGCUGCAACGAUAGAAAACCGACAUAUCGGAGUCGGAUCGCAUGGCCACUGCCUGGUGCUUCAUAGCUCCGGCAGUAUUCUGAAAAGUCAUGCCCUUGGCGAUGAAUCCUUUACCGGCGACCGCUGUUGCGAAAUAAUAUAUAGAUCGAUAAUUAACUCAACCAGGCUGAUCAGGUGUAUAUUAUAUAUAUGCGUGUGUGUAUGUAUCUUACCGAAAGUUGCCGAUCUGAACGUCGUCCAACCGUCCUUUACGCUCCGUUUUCCGGUGAUGAUGGUUCUAUCGAUACCGUCGCCGACGAACAUCAGAUUCUUCAUCGACUUUUUUACCUCAACAUUCUCUUUAUAAACUCCAGCUUUUAUGUAAAUAACAAACCUACGAUUGCCCCUUCUCUUGCCAGAGACGUGGCUAAGUGCUUCUUUGAUUGUCUUGUAAUUUCCAGAACCAUCUUUGGCGACAACAAGAUUGGCCUUCACAGACACUGAUCGAAGAAGCCUCCGGCUAUCAUCAUCCGACAACCAUUCCGGAAACAAAUCAUCAUUACCAUCACCACCACCAACAGAAAAAAGCUUUCGGUUCCUACCAGAAAUGGUCGGUUCCGGUACGUUGACGGCGAGGGAGUUGCUGAGCAAGUCGGUUAUAUUACUAGACAACAGAUUGGCCAUCGAAGGUGGUGGGAUGAGACCAAGAUCAAAGAACCCAUCAGCACACGUCUGCUGAUUCGCAGCGGCGGCGCUCAACCACGUCUGGGUCUCUU